GACGAUAUAGCUCAGUGGCAGAGUGCAUGCUUAGCAUGCAUGCGGUCCUGGGUUCAGUCCCCAGUGCCUCCA
rnacentral:tRNA from 1 species